GACGAACGCUGGCGGCGUGCCUAAUACAUGCAAGUCGAACGCAGUGGGGACGGGUGCGUAACACGUUGGUAACCUCCCAUCAGAGGGGAUAACACUUGGAAACAGGUGCUAAACCGAUACGGAUGGAUGGACCCGCGGUGCAUUAGCGAGUUGGUGAGGGAACGGCUCACCAAGGCCACGAUCCAUAGCCGACCUGAGAGGGGGAUCGGCCACUCUUGCACUGAGCGACGGCCCAGAUUCCUGCGGGAGGAACAAUUAGGGAAUCUUCGGUAAUGGAGGAAAGUCUGACCGCGCAACCCCUCGUCAGUGAAGAAGGUUUUCGGAUCGUAAAACGCUGUUGGUAUAGAAGCGGUAUCUAAGCAGAAAGCCACGGGUAACCACGGUCCAGCAGCCGCGGUAAUAC
rnacentral:rRNA from 1 species